CACACGCGAGACCAUGUGCCAUGCGGAUGAAAAGCCCCGCAUCGCGCUCCGGUGGAGAAACGUAAGCCCAUGAAAAGGCUUGCUGAUCUCUUCUCAGUCUUGCGGAGGUCUAACCGGAAAAAGGAUCCUA
rnacentral:sRNA from 1 species